rnacentral:lncRNA from 1 species
AUAGAGGGUCCAAAUAACAGACCCUGCUCUUGGGAAAGUCUGCUGCUUCCCCUAGCCUAGGUUAAGGACAUCACUGGGAAACUUCCUGAUCUGGUAUGGCCCUUGGAGUAUUGCCGGUUGCUGCUUUUCCUUGUGGGUGGUGAUGAAACCACAAGGUACAGUCCAGAGUUAAUCUAAAGUGUCUUCAGAGUCUUGGCACAAUUGGGGAGGGAAUCUGGAACACAGGUCACAUUUUCCUUCCAGCCACAGGAAGCAACAUUGGAAGAAAUAGAUGGGCCCAGUGUGUUAAUACCUGACUGAGAUGUGCUGACAAUGCUGCAGCACACUGGAAGAUUUACAGAGAAGAGCCAGGUGUUCCUCAGAUGAUAGAACUCACCACGGAAACUACUGGUACAUUACUAGUCCAUAACAAAAAAGAGCGUUCUUUGAUCCUCCUUUGAUCCAGUGAAGAUUCUGGGAUGCCAUGAUGGCUGCUUGUAGUUCCACUAGUAUUUUGGGUUAUGAUCCUGUUCCUCUUCUAGUGAAGGUAAAUCCUACUCAUUUACAAAGCAGCUGAAGACUUGUCACUACACAGCACACCAAGGCACUUUAUACUCCAGGUAUCUGUGUC